rnacentral:lncRNA from 1 species
UCUACUCCAUUAGGAUCAUUAAUAUGUUCUUUUUGAAAGGGAAAGAAAAGGGGCAGUCUGAACGUAGUUCAUAAAUCAUAAUGAUUAAGUCAGUGGAAGAAUGUCAUUUUGUAGAACGAUGGUAUCAGUUAUUCUUUAUAUUAUAUCACAACUCAGCUUUGGCCAUAAGCAUUGGCCUCUGUCACUAAACAGCCUCAGGCCUUCAGUUCCCCGAGCUGUGAUAAAAACCAUCAUCAGUAUUGCAACUUUUUCCAAAUAUUGACCUAUUUAAGGAACCUUCAUAUCUAGGGCAGCUUAGGCAACAAAUGCAGGAAUGUAGAAAACAAAUAAAAACGAAAACACUAGCANUAUUUAAGGAACCUUCAUAUCUAGGGCAGCUUAGGCAACAAAUGCAGGAAUGUAGAAAACAAAUAAAAACGAAAACACUAGCAUUAAUGUCCCAAGCAACAAAUUGAAAAUAUUAGGAAUUACUUUUAGAAGUACCAAUGACACAAAUUCAAACAUCUUACUUUAAUUUAUAAUCUUUACUACUCAAUUUUUAAAACAAAAAAUGUUGCCAGAC